AUUGAACGCUGGCGGCAGGCCUAACACAUGCAAGUCGAGCGGAUGAAGGGAGCUUGCUCCUGGAUUCAGCGGCGGACGGGUGAGUAAUGCCUAGGAAUCUGCCUGGUAGUGGGGGAUAACGUCCGGAAACGGGCGCUAAUACCGCAUACGUCCUGAGGGAGAAAGUGGGGGAUCUUCGGACAUCACGCUAUCAGAUGAGCCUAGGUCGGAUUAGCUAGUUGGUGGGGUAAAGGCCUACCAAGGCGACGAUCCGUAACUGGUCUGAGAGGAUGAUCAGUCACACUGGAACUGAGACACGGUCCAGACUCCUACGGGAGGCAGCAGUGGGGAAUAUUGGACAAUGGGCGAAAGCCUGAUCCAGCCAUGCCGCGUGUGUGAAGAAGGUCUUCGGAUUGUAAAGCACUUUAAGUUGGGAGGAAGGGCAGUAAGUUAAUACCUGGCUGUUUUGACGUUACCAACAGAAUAAGCACCGGCUAACUUCGUG
rnacentral:rRNA from 1 species